rnacentral:rRNA from 1 species
GACGAACGCUGGCGGCGUGCUUAACACAUGCAAGUCGAACGGAAAGGCCCUGCUUUUGUGGGGUGCUCGAGUGGCGAACGGGUGAGUAACACGUGAGUAACCUGCCCUUGACUUUGGGAUAACUUCAGGAAACUGGGGCUAAUACCGGAUAGGAGCUCCUGCUGCAUGGUGGGGGUUGGAAAGUUUCGGCGGUUGGGGAUGGACUCGCGGCUUAUCAGCUUGUUAGUGGGGUAGUGGCUUACCAAGGCUUUGACGGGUAGCCGGCCUGAGAGGGUGACCGGCCACAUUGGGACUGAGAUACGGCCCAGACUCCUACGGGAGGCGGCAGUGGGGAAUAUUGCACAAUGGGCGGAAGCCUGAUGCAGCAACGCCGCGUGCGGGAUGACGGCCUUCGGGUUGUAAACCGCUUUCGCCUGUGACGAAGCGUGAGUGACGGUAAUGGGUAAAGAAGCACCGGCUAACUACGUGCCAGCAGCCGCGGUGAUACGUAGGGUGCGAGCGUUGUCCGGAUUUAUUGGGCGUAAAGGGCUCGUAGGUGGUUGAUCGCGUCGGAAGUGUAGUCUUGGGGCUUAACCCUGAGCGUGCUUUCGAUACGGGUUGACUUGAGGAAGGUAGGGGAGAAUGGAAUUCCUGGUGGAGCGGUGGAAUGCGCAGAUAUCAGGAGGAACACCAGUGGCGAAGGCGGUUCUCUGGGCCUUUCCUGACGCUGAGGAGCGAAAGCGUGGGGAGCGAACAGGCUUAGAUACCCUGGUAGUCCACGCUGUAAACGGUGGGUACUAGGUGUGGGGUCCAUUCCACGGGUUCCGUGCCGUAGCUAACGCUUUAAGUACCCCGCCUGGGGAGUACGGCCGCAAGGCUAAAACUCAAAGGAAUUGACGGGGCCCCGCACAAGCGGCGGAGCAUGCGGAUUAAUUCGAUGCAACGCGUAGAACCUUACCUGGGUUUGACAUGGAUCGGGAGUGCUCAGAGAUGGGUGUGCCUCUUUUGGGGUCGGUUCACAGGUGGUGCAUGGCUGUCGUCAGCUCGUGUCGUGAGAUGUUGGGUUAAGUCCCGCAACGAGCGCAACCCUUGUUCACUGUUGCCAGCACGUUAUGGUGGGGACUCAGUGGAGACCGCCGGGGUCAACUCGGAGGAAGGUGGGGAUGACGUCAAGUCAUCAUGCCCCUUAUGUCCAGGGCUUCACGCAUGCUACAAUGGCUGGUACAGAGAGUGGCGAGCCUGUGAGGGUGAGCGAGUCUCGGAAAGCCGGUCUCAGUUCGGAUUGGGGUCUGCAACUCGACCUCAUGAAGUCGGAGUCGCUAGUAAUCGCAGAUCAGCAACGCUGCGGUGAAUACGUUCCCGGG